CAUGAUGCCAAAAUCACACUUGAGGCUGUAUCUCUGCUAUGCUUUAGCAUACUGACACCAAACUUUGUGUGUGCCAUUCUCACCUCACACAGAACACACCAAAAUGAUUUGAUCACAGCGCCAACUGUUGGUCAAAAGUGAUAAACCAUUUAAUCAUAAUACUUUUAAUAAUAAAUUUCAAUUACAAUCAUCCUAAAAUUGCUGUAAUCGCUCAUUGUUGCUCCGCGCCAUGCUUAGCUCCUCAAUAUGCCGCUGGAGUGCUUGGCCCUGUAAUUGCUGCUUGCAGCUAUAUUUAGGGGCCAAGCACCGAAGGUGCGUAGGCACAUAUUGAAAUCGUUGGCGUUAUUAUUAGGGGCCAAGCACCGAAGGUGCGUAGGCACCUAUUGAAACCGUUGGCGUUAUUAUUAGGGGCCAAGCACCGAAGGUGCGUAGGCACCUAUUGUAUCCGUUGGCGUUAUUCUUCUUCUUCUUCUUCUUCUUCUUCUUCUUCUUCUUCUUCUUCUUCUUCUUCUUCCGCCGCAAGUCUAUGGCAGCCCAUAGAACCGAUUGCGGGAAAGUUGUAUAAUUUGGCACACUGGUAGAGGACAGUCCCAACAUUAACUAUAGCAAAUUUGAAGUCUCUAUCUCCUACUCUCUAGUGCCACCACUUGUCCAAAGUUUCAAAAUUUUUAUGCUAAUAACUUUUGAACCGUAAGCCACAAAAUUAAAAUUCUUUUUUCCUCUGAAUCCUUGGCUCAUGCCAAGUCGAAUGAACCCCGAAAUUCAAAAAUCGCAAGGUUUAGUUUUUUCGCUAUUUUCAAUUGUUCGAAAAACCUACUUUUACGAACUCGUCCUAGACGGUUAGUCCGAUUUUCACGAAAAUUG
ensembl:lncRNA